AUUGAACGCUGGCGGCAGGCCUAACACAUGCAAGUCGAGCGAAGCGGCGGACGGGUGAGUAAUGCCUAGGAAUCUGCCUGGUCGUGGGGGAUAACGUCCGGCAACGGGCGCUAAUACCGCAUACUAUCAGAUGAGCCUAGGUGGGAUUAGCUAGUUGGUGGGGUAAAGGCCUACCAAGGCGACGAUCCGUAGCUGGUCUGAGAGGAUGAUCAGUCACACUGGAACUGAGACACGGUCCAGACUCCUACGGGAGGCAGCAGUGGGGAAUAUUGGACAAUGGGCGAAAGCCUGAUGCAGCCAUGCCGCGUGUAUGAAGAAGGUCUUCGGGUUGUAAAGCACUUUAAGUUGGGAGGCGUUACCAACAGAAGAAGCACCGGCUAACUCCGUGCCAGCCGCCGCGGUAAUAC
rnacentral:rRNA from 1 species